rnacentral:lncRNA from 1 species
CUUAAUCAGAUCACUGUUGUUUGCUAUUUAUUCAUGAAUUUCACGUUUGAAUAAGAGAUAGAAUAACUAUCGUAUGGUUUACGUUUUCGGUAUUGCCAAGGUAGCCUACAUCAAAUAUGAUGUAGGCCUACCGUAUUAUUUUAAGAGUGAUAAAUUGUGAUGGAUCCAUAUCUUUUAUUGUAUUGUUUUAACGCAAGCGUAGCUGUUGUGAUGGUCUGUCCCUGCUCGGUGUUUGGCACGUGGCCCAACUGGGUGGAGCGUAGCUUAGCCACUGUGUUGCUUUGCGUUGUUUUCUCCACCGCACGCCAGUGCUUAUGCAGCGAUAGCAGAAGAAGGACCUCAUGUGCAGAGGAGACGCCGAUGCAAAUUGGGGAAUUACUCCGGGACAUCCCUUGAAUUGACUUGACAUUCGUCCCGCAUUGGACACUGGAUUUUGUGUUCUGAUAACCCAAAGCACCCGUUUCAUUUGCCGCACCGUUUGCAGGGGGGGGCUGCAGAACCUGCUGGGGAUCGCUGCUGCUGCUGUCACCGAGUCGCGGGAAGACAAGGACGUUCCACCUAUUCACUUGUGAUCACCGCACAGGGCUGUUUUGUGAAGCACCUCCGUGAUACCAACACACACACUCUCACCUGGAAGUGUCCGUGGAUCGUCAAAUGUUGUGCCGUGGCCCAAUGGACUUGAGCGUGCGAGGAGAAUGCUAAUGAACGUCGCGCUGCGUCCUGCCGACGCGCGCUAUCCUCCAGUGCUGCUGAGGGGCGACAGCAGAGAUCGUCUUCUGACUCUGCCUGUAGCAAGAGCUCUUGCAUGCAUUGACCCCAUGGACAGACCAUCUAUAAACCAACAUCGGAAGAACAUCUUUGUGUUUGUACUUUGGCUGUGUGUGUGUGUGUGUGUGUGUGUGUGUGUGUGUGUGUGUGUGUGUGUGAGCAUGUGUGUGAGCAUGUGUGUGUGUGUCUGUUUUCUGAAAGGCUUCCCCACAAUGAAUUGA